rnacentral:rRNA from 1 species
CGGGACGGGUGAGUAAUGCUUGGGAAUCUAGCUUAUGAGGGGGAGUAACUACGGGAAACUGUAGCUAAUACCGCGUAAUAUCGGAAGAUUAAAGUGUGGGACCUUCGGGCCACAUGCCAUAGGAUGAGCCCAAGUGGGAUUAGGUAGUUGGUGAGGUAAAGGCUCACCAAGCCGACGAUCUCUAGCUGGUCUGAGAGGAUGACCAGCCACACUGGGACUGAGACACGGCCCAG